rnacentral:misc_RNA from 1 species
UUUCCGUAGGUGAACCUGCGGAAGGAUCAUUAUCGUACAAAAUGUGAGGGGCAUGCGAGUGCUGUCGCUGGCCCAACAGUCGUGCACGCCCGAGUGUCUCCUCUUGCAUAAUAAUCCUUCUCACCCUUUGUGCAUCACCGCGUGGGCACGCUUCCGGAUCAUCUCGGAGGGGGGCGCGCGUUAUCACACAAACCCCCCUUUUAAAAGUGUAUAAGGACCACAUUUAUACAAUCAAUACAACUUUCAACAACGGAUCUCUUGGCUCUC